CAGCCUGCUCGGCAGCCGCUGCCUCUCUUAUUGAUUCCUACCUUAAAACUUUGGCAAGACAUUAUUGAUCAAUGUGUCAGUGAAACUGCCAUGAUUCAGGACUUUUUUCUUCAAUUCUUAAUGGAUAAAGUGGCUGUGCUGAAUUAUUAUCAGUAAGUGAAGAUGAAGAUAUCCACACGAUGGUGACCGGGAGGAAAAUGAGGUAGCAUUGGUUGCUGCAAAUUCCAGAGCCUCCUAGAAUUCAACUUCAUCUGAACUCAGUGACAUAAAAGAUGAGAG
rnacentral:lncRNA from 1 species